rnacentral:rRNA from 1 species
UACGUAGGUGGCAAGCGUUGUCCGGAAUUAUUGGGCGUAAAGCGCGCGCAGGUGGUUCUUUAAGUCUGAUGUGAAAGCCCCCGGCUCAACCGGGGAGGGUCAUUGGAAACUGGGGAACUUGAGUGCAGAAGAGGAUAGUGGAAUUCCAAGUGUAGCGGUGAAAUGCGUAGAGAUUUGGAGGAACACCAGUGGCGAAGGCGACUAUCUGGUCUGUAACUGACACUGAGGCGCGAAAGCGUGGGGAGCAAACAGG